rnacentral:rRNA from 1 species
GAACGGGUGAGUAAUAUAUCGGAACGUGCCCAGUCGUGGGGGAUAACGCAGCGAAAGCUGUGCUAAUACCGCAUACGCCCUGAGGGGGAAAGCGGGGGAUCGAAAGACCUCGCGCGAUUAGAGCGGCCGAUGCCUGAUUAGCUUGUUGGUGGGGUAAAAGCCCACCAAGGCGACGAUCAGUAGCUGGUCUGAGAGGACGAUCAGCCACACUGGGACUGAGACACGGCCCAGACUCC